rnacentral:rRNA from 1 species
UACAGAGGGGGCAAGCGUUGUUCGGAAUUACUGGGCGUAAAGGGCGCGUAGGCGGCCUUCUAAGUCGAACGUGAAAUCCCCGGGCUCAACCUGGGAACUGCCUUUGUGACUGCAAGGCUUGAGUGCGGCAGAGGGGGAUGGAAUUCCGCGUGUAGCAGUGAAAUGCGUAGAUAUGCGGAGGAACACCGAUGGCGAAGGCAAUCCCCCGGGCCUGCACUGACGCUCAUGCACGAAAGCGUGGGGAGCAAACAGG